UGCACAAUAUACAAGAGACCAAUAAUACACAGCAAACCCUUGCUUCUUCACUUUACACUAAUACCAUAUUCCAAAAACAAAAGAGUGCUCACUUAACACGGGAACCCCCUGCUCUUCAACCACACAUCUAAGCUAAAGCAAAAAGAUCAGAUAAAAGCCAGUGGCUGAUUCACAAAGGUGCUGGUUUUGGCCUCAGCCCUGAGACUGUGGUAGUUAAGGUGGAGCAUAUGAGUGAUAAAUGGAAGGUUAUUGAAUCCCAGGAUUUGGGGGGAACUAAAACUGUGUCUGACUUUGUGAAAGCAGGUGGCAAAGAUUACAGAGUACUGUCUGACAGCUGUCAUUGUGCAUCCAAAAGAAUGAUGGACGAGCAUUAUUACCAUACUACUUUAAAAAAUACUUUAAACAACAAAAACACGGUAGCUAUGCUACAAUAUUGUGUGAGCCUAAAACAAUGUGUGUGUAAUUGUAUCAGUAAUACUGCAGUGUCAGUAAAAUACUCAUUUAGGAGGAUGUUUCUGAUCACUUUAUUCAGGUUGUAGAACACUUUGAAUGAUGUGUUACAGUAUCAAUACAAGAGGCAACUUCUCCACCAUAACUGUGUCAAUCUGAUCUUUAACAUGUGAAAUCAUGUAUUGACAAGUGUGAAAGGAUAGCUCUGUGGGCUCAGAUAUUACCGGCUAAGGAUGCAUUUUUACCAUUAUUACCUGUAGUGCCACUGUAGUGCAGUGCAGUAUAUCAAUAGGAUUAUAUAAUAUAAUUGGCUAACUAUUUUUAUACAUUCUUUAAAGGCUGGAUGGGUGAUAUAAGAGAAAUAUAAGAAAUGUGUUGAUGUGUUGCCAUUUAAAUUAAAAUUGGCUCUUUCAAUGUUUCUUUUUUUUUUUGUAAAUGACACAAAACCAUUGGUAUAUAAUGACAGAUGCAAAUAAAGAUAAGUAGAUUAUUCAAAAAACUAAAAUAAGUAUAGACAAAUGAUGUAAACAUUAUCAAACAUCACAUGUAAAAACAAAGGGUUGGCAUUUUAAUUUAUUUGUCAGGGGCUCUCAUUAAAGUCUCACACAUUUUGUUAAAGGUGAUUAAUAUUCGACCCAGUUUGACACUAUGAAAACUGCCAUUGAAUUUCCCAGUGUAAAAAACUGAACUUACUGGCAACCGUGCUAUCAAAGUUAAAAAAGCUUUGAAUCAUGAGCAAUAGUGCAGGCAGUACUGUUUCACUGAAGUAUAAAAAGACAGAAAUGUGUACAUUCCCUCACAAACCAAUAUAUUUGCAACUUUUUUUUGUAAAUGCGUGUUAUGUGGGGUAUUUACACCAAAGUACAAUUUGCACCACCUUCCUUAUAAAAGUUUCCCAUAUUAAAAUCCUAGCAAAGUAUGAUAAAACAUAGUGAAAGCAUAGGUUCCCCAUAGUAUAACCAUGGGCAACUGCCAAAAUACCAUGCCAACAUCUCAUGGUAAACUUUUACUUUGUAACAGACAGAUUGCAUGGUGACAUCAGACCAGAAGAGAACUGACACACAGACAAGUCUGGACUGCCAGGUAUGAAUGCGCUGCUUGUGCGUUUUCUUAAUAAAUAAAAAGACUUGCACAAAACAAAACACUUUCCAAAACAAAACAACACGACAGCCAAAACAAACAGACAAUACAGCAAACAAACACUGAACAAACAAGCAUUGUGCUGAUCCAAAUCCAACACCUGUAGCAAUUGUUAUAGGGUUAGUUUUUGUUUCAGUCACGACUCUGCCUUUCUUCACUCUGAACACACUCUCCAAUGGAGUUGAAGCUGCAGGUUUUUAUAUUGUGAUAGAGGAUUAACUGGCUAUUAAUUACCUAGUUUAACCCCCUGUCACAUUUGUCACAGGCUUUCUCAUCUACGUGGUCAACAGUCAGUUUGUCAAUAAGCGCUUGCUGUUGCCACGCAUUCUCACGAUUUUAUCUGGAUAUAGACAUUUUAACCCCAUCCAAGAUGUAAACGAUAACAACAAAACAUCGUGUUUUACCAAUUAAACAAUACGUUUUAUCUAAUAAUACAAAUACAACAUAAUACAGAACUGUGGCGAGGAGCCACGCACCUAUGGAUAUUUGUGCGCAUUUUUGUUUGUUUUAUUUGUAUUAUAUAUGAUUUAUAUGUAUAUAUGAC